GAGGCAGCGCGCGCGCGCGGGAGAGCGAGCAACAAGCCAGCGCCAAGAUGGCGGACCUGUGUAAGAAGUACUGCGUGAACUGCCUGGCGGACGUGACGAACCUGCGGCUGCGCUGCACCGACUGUCCCGACAUCGAGCUGUGCCCCGAGUGCUUCUCGGCCGGAGCGGAGAUCGGGAAUCACCGCAGAUGGCACGGCUAUCAGCAAGUGGACGGCGGCCGCUUCACUCUGUGGGGUCCCGAGGCGGAGGGAGGAUGGACCAGCAGGGAAGAGCAGUCGCUGCUCGAUGCCAUCGAACAGUAUGGGUUCGGCAACUGGGAGGACAUGGCAGCCCACGUGGGUGCUUCCCGGACACCGCAGGAGGUGAUGGAUCAUUAUGUAACCAUGUACAUCCACGGUAACCUGGGGAAGGCGUGUAUCCCUGAGCUGAUCCCGAACCGUGUGACGGACCACACGUGUCCAGGCGGGGCGCCUCUGUCCCCGAGCCUCACUGCGCCCCCACCGCCGCUGGAACUCACGCCGGCUGAACAGCAGCAGCUCGGAUACAUGCCGCUUCGCGACGACUACGAGGUGGAAUACGAACAGGAGGCGGAGUUGCUUGUCAGUGGCUUGUCUGUGAACUACGAUGACGAGGACGUGGAGCUCGAGAUGAAGCGCGCUCACGUUGACAUGUACGUGCGAAAGCUACGCGAGCGCCAGCGCCGGAAAGACGUCGCCCGUGACUACAACCUCGUCAAUGCCUUUCUUGGUCGUGAGAAGAAAGACAAAGGGAGCGGCGGAGGUGCCAGUGCUGGUUUGGCUCCGCCCAUUGUGGGUUCGACAUCAUCGGGUUCUGUGAAGCGCAAAAUCACAAAGGAGGAGCGUGAGCAGCGGGCAAAAUUACGUGCGCUCUGUCAGUUUAUGGCGUACAGAGAAUUCGAGGACUUUUUUGACAACAUGCACAAGGAGCGGGUGCUACGUGCCAAAGUGCGUGAACUCCAGCGCUACCGGCGCAACGGCAUCACGCGUCUCGACGAGUCAGCCGAGUAUGAGGCAGCGCGUCACAAGCGCGAGAAACGGAAAGAAAACAAGAGCUCCAAGAGAGGCAGUGGAGGCGGGGGUGGUGGUGGAGCUGGGAUUGGAAUCGGAGGCGGUGCUAACUCUGGAAGUGGAGCCAAUACAGGGGGCGGAGCCAGCACCAUCAAAGAGGAAGGAAAAGAUGGUGAAUUCUCAGCCAUCGAACACUUACCGGGCUUUGAACUGCUUUCGGAUCGCGAGAAGGUCCUGUGCAACUCGCUGAACUUGAGUCCAACUCGAUAUUUGACGGUCAAAACUAUCAUAAUUAAGGAUCAUUUGCAGAAACGGCAAGGCGUCCCCGCCAAGAGCCGCUUACCGGGCUACCUGGACAAAAUGCUGAAAAGACGCAUCCUAAACUUCCUCACAGAGAGCGGCUGGAUAUCGCGAGACGCCGCUUAGCACGCCACGUUUCGUUUCGAAGAACGCGGGACGGUGAACCUCUUUCCCACUUCUGUUCAUAGGAAUGUAACUGGGGCAAAAGGAAAAACCUCGACUACCAUUUUCAUAAGGUUUCAAAGGAAUAAAUCUGUAUAUACAUAUGUAUAUUUUUGCUAAUAAGAUUUUUUUUUCAGGGCGUGUUGGGGGGUGGGGUUAUUGUGUGUUUUAUUAAUAAGGCAUCUAAAAGCAUUCAGAAUCCUCUGAAAAUGUGAGAUUUUCUGAGAAUAGGUGUAAACCUCAUACAGACUUUCUCAUCAUCUUGGGUUCCUCUUGAUGUUUGUUUGAUGAUGCACCAAGAGCAGCUUUUAGUUUGGCAUUAAAGACUUCUUUUUUCCCCUCCCCUUGUGACUCUAGAACCCUUGUACAAUCCAUAAUUUGCCUCUUGAAUGAUCAGUUCUGGAAAUGUCUGCAUGUCCAUAGACUCAUUCUCGAAGCAUCACUGUAAUCUUUGGUAUGGCUCUGGAAUUGCGUAUGGUUCUAGAGUUCCCUCAAAAGUGAUGAUGGUUCUGGAAUCUUUGUUGUGGUUUGAGAAAGCUGUGCAUGAUGAUCGUCUCCCUGCCAUGGCCUUUUUUUUUUUUUUUAAAUCCGAGAGCGAUGAUAAGUUUCUCGGCGGGGUUGUAGUAUCAUCACUGCAUUUCAAGAAUUCUCUAGUCUCCCCUGCAUGGUUCUUCAGUCUUUGCCGUGAUUCUAGAAUGCCCUGUGAUAUGAGAGCCUCCCUGGCAUAGUUCUAGAGUCUUUCUUAUGGGUUCGUGGUGAAAAUCUCCCUGCCGUGGCUCUAAAGUCUCCUCUGUGGUUCUAGAAUCUUCUGAGUGAUGAGGCGCAGUGUAUUUCCAGAGCGGUUCCAGAAUCCUAGUAUCUUUUGGUUCUAGAAUUCUUAGUGUUGUUUUCAAAUCUUCAGCCUAGUUCUUUAAUGCAUAGUGUGGUUCUAGAAUCUUCAUUGUGGAUUCUAGAGCCAAAAGUUUGGCUCUAGAAUCCUGGUACUGGGGGGGGGGGAGAAAACAACAACGUUCUCUUUGCAUGGAAACAUGUCAUUUUGUGUUCAGUUGUUGCACUUCCUAUUUUAUUUUUGUGAAACUUGGUUGAUUUUAGAUUUUUACCGAUAUCACCUAUGGUGCUGCGCAGGUCUUGUAUUCAUUCAUCAUUUGUACAGCCAAACAGAAGCUUUGUGAUUUAUUUCAGAGAUGCAGUAUAUUACAGAUCAUUUAAUUCGGAAAGAGGCUGCACUGGACAGGCAAUAUUUUGGGGCCUUGUCCUAUUCGAACGACCAAAUGCUGACUGUUGUCUUCUGAGAUUUCUUAUUUGGGAUAAAUAACAAAGCAGCACUGCACGUAUCGUCCUCGAGGAGGAUAAUCUCGUCAUCCUGUUCAGCGGACGAGAGUGAAACUGUCAGGUGUAAUUAAUUUUUCUCUAUACCAAAAUAUUCAAAACCGUGAUAAAGGAUUGGCUAAAGUCUGGACACUAACAAGGCUAGUGGUUGGUGCUGUGGUUUACAUUCUGCCUUAGGACACUUCUUUCAAAAGGCAUCUCUGGAUACGACACUGGUAUUUAACAUAGAAUGGGGUUCUUUUGGAUCUUAAUUUAGUGUUCCUCUGUUCAACACCAAAGCGCUCAUGAAGUGGUUAAAGAAUCCUUUGACGGUUUCUGGAAUCAUAUUCAGAGUGGGGAGAUUCUCCCAUACCUGGUUCACCAAUCAUCACUGUGGUUCUGCAACCUUCAGAAUGAUGCUAGUCUCCCUAGAGAAAGUCUAGAUUCUUCCAUGUGGUUCUACAACCUUCAAAGCGAUGCGAGUUCCCCUGGAGUUAUUCUAGAUUCUUCACUGUGGUUCUACAACAUUCAAAGUGAUGCACAUCUCCCCAGCGAAAUUCUAGAUUCUUCACUGUGGCUCUUUGACCUUCAGAGUGAUGCUAGUCUCUGCAGAGUAAGUCUAGAAUCUUCACUCUUUCUACAACCUUCAGAGCAAUGCCAGUCUCCCCAGCAUAAUUCUAGAGUCUUCACUGUGGUUCUGAAGCCUUCAGAGCAAUGCCAGUCUCCCCAGUGUAAUUCUAGAUUCUUUACUGUGGUUCUACAACCUUCAGAGUGACGCAAGUCUCCCCGGAGUUAUUCUAGAUUCUUCACUUUUUUUUUUAACUUCAACUUUCAAAGCGAUGUGAGUCUCCCUAGAGCUAUUCUAGAUUCUUCAUUGAGGUUCUGCAGUACUCUGCGUGAAGAUCGUUUUCCUAGCAUGCUUCUAGAAUUGUGGUUCACUCUGGCCUGGUUCUGGAGUCAUCCAUGUGAUGAUAGUCUCCCCAGUCUGUUUCUAGAACGUGCGUGGUGCUUCUAAGAUUCACAUAGUGAUAAGUUUUCCCACUGCGAUUCUAGAUUCACCAGAGUGAGUGUGGUCGCCUCGCUGUGGAUCUGGAAACUUCGAUGCAGUUCUGCAGUCCUCGGCAUUAUGUUAGGGUCUGGUCUAGAAUCACCAUGGUCAUUCUAGAAUGCCCGGGCAUCAGCCUGAGGACUCGAUAAUCUUCACUGCAGUUCUAGACCCCUGGUGAAGUUCUGAUGAUGAAAAGGCUCCUCAGUGUUGACACUCUCAUCAGCAUGGUUCUAGAAUCUUCCCUGAGGAAGAAAUUCUCUCCAGUCCACUGCCACUCCGAAUAUUCUGGAACCGCAUCUGAGAUCCUCAGAGUGAUGGGCUUUUCCUGUGCAGUUCUAGAAUGCUGACUGUGUUUCUCCAAUCCAUCGGGUGAUUUAUAAUCUCCCUGGCGUGAUUUCUAGAUUGUUUGUUUUUAUACAUAUAUAAAAAAAAUCAACACUGUGACCAAGAUACUCACUUUGUCUUUUUUCCAAGCUCUAGCCUGGUACUCCAAUCCUCUGGAUGGUUCUAGAAUACUUGUUUUGGUUCCAGAAAUAACAGAAUGAAUGGAGUUGAAGCAAGAGUGAUUUUUUUUUUUUUUUAUUAAAUUGGGUAAAGACACUAAUUAUAAUUUUUUAUUUCAGCUACAGUGAAGUGAUUGGCCAAUACAUCAUUAAUUGUGAUAACUGCCUAAAUCUUUAUCACGGUUUACAAUAUUAUCAGAGUUUUGUGUUUACAAAAUGACUGGCGUUUAAUUCUGCACACGAUUCUGUCCAAGAUGAGGACUUUCAGAAGACAGAGCUGUCUUUAUGUGGCCUAGGAUUGGUGCUUUAUUAGGGAUCAUUCCUGUUGAAUGGAACAGGAGAACGUCCUCAAUAGUAAUAUUAUAAUAUAAACACGUCGAAUAUCACAAAACGCGUCACAGAACCGAUCGUCAACUCGUUUCAGCUGGUUUGGUUUAUGUUCUACAGAGCUUUGAAGCAUUUUGUUCCAGCACCACGGUGUUUUUGUUUCUGUUCAUUGGGGACACUUCUUUUUUUUUUUUCUUUCUUUCUUUCAUGUUUCUGUCACUUUUUAAUUUUUACCCCUCUGCUCGAGAUCUUUUGUGCAGUUCUUCAGACCCGAGGCUCGUUCCAUGUCCCAUUUAAAUGUAAAUGACUUCGUGUGAGGACUGACUCGAGGGCUGAAUACGAACAAGGGAAGAAGUGCACGUCUCUUUCUCUCUCGCUUGCUUUUUUUCCCCCUUGAUGCUUUCUUUUCAAUCGCUUCUUGACCUCUUUUUAUUCCCCAAACAUUUUCACAAAGCCAUUUUGAGGUCAAGACUCAGUUCACUCUGACUUCUGAUUAAGAAAAUCUGAUUUAUUUACCAAAUAAUCUCUGAUCAGAUGAUCCUUCUCUUCUUUCCUCUCUCAAUUUCCUCCAUUUUCUUCUUGAAAUUAGUCCGGAAUAAUCAUUUUUCUUGAAAACCUUUUUCCAUAAAGGUUCAUCCAAAGAAAGCCCAAUCAAAUGUCCUUAACCUGAGCAACACUGAAUUUAGGAUUUUAUUUUAUUUUUAUUUUCUCCUGGCUCUCUCCUUUUUUUUUUUUCUUCCUCCAUAUUUUAGAGCUUGAUCAGUGUACCCUAUUUUAGAAAAUGUAAAUAUAUUUUGUUUUGUUUUGUAAAAUAAUUUGUAAAGUAUAGAAAAUGGGACUGAAAAAUGAGGAAAAACUGAUCUGUGAAGUGUAAAGUAUUUUAUUUCUGAAGCAUUUUUAUAAUUUUUGUAUUAAAUAUUAAAAAAAAUACUGAAUGAAUAUUUUUUUGUUCCUGUAGCAAUGUUAUUCUGGUUCUGGCAUGCUGUUGUUAAGUUGCUCUUUGGUACAGCAUCGUUUUGUUUGUAAUAGUGUUGGUUAUGUUGGAA